rnacentral:rRNA from 1 species
UACGUAGGGUGCAAGCGCUAAUCGGAAUUACUGGGCGUAAAGCGUGCGCAGGCGGCGAUGUAAGACAGAUGUGAAAUCCCCGGGCUCAACCUGGGAACUGCAUUUGUGACUGCAUCGCUGGAGUGCGGCAGAGGGGGAUGGAAUUCCGCGUGUAGCAGUGAAAUGCGUAGAUAUGCGGAGGAACACCGAUGGCGAAGGCAAUCCCCUGGGCCUGCACUGACGCUCAUGCACGAAAGCGUGGGGAGCAAACAGG